UUCUUCAGGAUCUUCAUGAUGAUGUUCUUCAGGAUCUUGUUCUUCAGGAUCUUCAUGCUGCGGUCACGUAAACGCUCUGAAGUGAGAAGUAGGAAGUCCCGAGAUGGGAAAACACCGAGAUCUCCCGUUGUAUCGAAGCAGCAAAACUGUCCUUACAGAACCGUUUAAUUUAAGAUUCAUCACAAACCGUCCUCAUGAUGUCCAGGAAUAAAUCGAUCCCCUGGAGAGGAGUUUAAACCACUAAAAUGUAAUUAUAUGUUAAAUAAUAAAAUAUUUCAUAUGUUAUGCCCAAUAAAG